UACGUAAGGGGCGAGCGUUGUCCGGAAUCAUUGGGCGUAAAGAGCGUGUAGGCGGCUUGGCAAGUCUGACGUGAAAGCCCGCGGCUCAACCGCGGAUUGUCGUUGGAAACUGCCUCGCUAGAGUCCGGAAGAGGAGAGCGGAAUUCCUGGUGUAGCGGUGGAAUGCGCAGAUAUCAGGAAGAACACCCGUGGCGAAGGCGGCUCUCUGGGACGGUACUGACGCUGAGACGCGAAAGCGUGGGGAGCGAACAGG
rnacentral:rRNA from 1 species